rnacentral:rRNA from 3 species
AAAUUGAAGAGUUUGAUCAUGGCUCAGAUUGAACGCUGGCGGCAGGCCUAACACAUGCAAGUCGAGCGGUAGCACAGAGAGCUUGCUCUCGGGUGACGAGCGGCGGACGGGUGAGUAAUGUCUGGGAAACUGCCUGAUGGAGGGGGAUAACUACUGGAAACGGUAGCUAAUACCGCAUAACGUCGCAAGACCAAAGUGGGGGACCUUCGGGCCUCAUGCCAUCAGAUGUGCCCAGAUGGGAUUAGCUAGUAGGUGGGGUAACGGCUCACCUAGGCGACGAUCCCUAGCUGGUCUGAGAGGAUGACCAGCCACACUGGAACUGAGACACGGUCCAGACUCCUACGGGAGGCAGCAGUGGGGAAUAUUGCACAAUGGGCGCAAGCCUGAUGCAGCCAUGCCGCGUGUGUGAAGAAGGCCUUCGGGUUGUAAAGCACUUUCAGCGGGGAGGAAGGCGUUAAGGUUAAUAACCUUGGCGAUUGACGUUACCCGCAGAAGAAGCACCGGCUAACUCCGUGCCAGCAGCCGCGGUAAUACGGAGGGUGCAAGCGUUAAUCGGAAUUACUGGGCGUAAAGCGCACGCAGGCGGUCUGUCAAGUCGGAUGUGAAAUCCCCGGGCUCAACCUGGGAACUGCAUUCGAAACUGGCAGGCUAGAGUCUUGUAGAGGGGGGUAGAAUUCCAGGUGUAGCGGUGAAAUGCGUAGAGAUCUGGAGGAAUACCGGUGGCGAAGGCGGCCCCCUGGACAAAGACUGACGCUCAGGUGCGAAAGCGUGGGGAGCAAACAGGAUUAGAUACCCUGGUAGUCCACGCCGUAAACGAUGUCGAUUUGGAGGUUGUGCCCUUGAGGCGUGGCUUCCGGAGCUAACGCGUUAAAUCGACCGCCUGGGGAGUACGGCCGCAAGGUUAAAACUCAAAUGAAUUGACGGGGGCCCGCACAAGCGGUGGAGCAUGUGGUUUAAUUCGAUGCAACGCGAAGAACCUUACCUGGUCUUGACAUCCACAGAACUUAGCAGAGAUGCUUUGGUGCCUUCGGGAACUGUGAGACAGGUGCUGCAUGGCUGUCGUCAGCUCGUGUUGUGAAAUGUUGGGUUAAGUCCCGCAACGAGCGCAACCCUUAUCCUUUGUUGCCAGCGGUUAGGCCGGGAACUCAAAGGAGACUGCCAGUGAUAAACUGGAGGAAGGUGGGGAUGACGUCAAGUCAUCAUGGCCCUUACGACCAGGGCUACACACGUGCUACAAUGGCAUAUACAAAGAGAAGCGACCUCGCGAGAGCAAGCGGACCUCAUAAAGUAUGUCGUAGUCCGGAUUGGAGUCUGCAACUCGACUCCAUGAAGUCGGAAUCGCUAGUAAUCGUAGAUCAGAAUGCUACGGUGAAUACGUUCCCGGGCCUUGUACACACCGCCCGUCACACCAUGGGAGUGGGUUGCAAAAGAAGUAGGUAGCUUAACCUUCGGGAGGGCGCUUACCACUUUGUGAUUCAUGACUGGGGUGAAGUCGUAACAAGGUAACCGUAGGGGAACCUGCGGUUGGAUCACCUCCUUA